rnacentral:rRNA from 1 species
GUAACAAGGUCUCCGUUGGUGAACCAGCGGAGGGAUCAUUACUGAGUUUACGCUCUACAACCCUUUGUGAACAUACCUAUAACUGUUGCUUCGGCGGGUAGGGUCUCCGUGACCCUCCCGGCCUCCCGCCCCCGGGCGGGUCGGCGCCCGCCGGAGGAUAACCAAACUCUGAUUUAACGACGUUUCUUCUGAGUGGUACAAGCAAAUAAUCAAAACUUUUAACAACGGAUCUCUUGGUUCUGGCAUCGAUGAAGAACGCAGCGAAAUGCGAUAAGUAAUGUGAAUUGCAGAAUUCAGUGAAUCAUCGAAUCUUUGAACGCACAUUGCGCCCGCCAGCAUUCUGGCGGGCAUGCCUGUUCGAGCGUCAUUUCAACCCUCAAGCUCUGCUUGGUGUUGGGGCCCUACAGCUGAUGUAGGCCCUCAAAGGUAGUGGCGGACCCUCCCGGAGCCUCCUUUGCGUAGUAACUUUACGUCUCGCACUGGGAUCCGGAGGGACUCUUGCCGUAAAACCCCCAAUUUUCCAAAGGUUGACCUCGGAUCAGGUAGG